UCGGCUGACGGCUCAGUAACACGUGGAUAAUCUGCCCUUAGGUGGAGGAUAAUCUCGGGAAACUGAGGACAAUACUCCAUAGGUUUAGGAGGCUGGAAUGCAUCUAGACUGAAAGCUCCGGCGCCUAAGGAUGAGUCUGCGGACUAUCAGGUAGUAGUCAGGGUAAAGACCUGACUAGCCUACGACGGAUACGGGUUGUGAGAGCAAUAACCCGGAGACGAUAUCUGAGACACGAUAUCGGGCCCUACGGGGCACAGCAGGCGCGAAAACUUCACACUGUGCGAAAGCACGAUGAGGGAAUCCCAAGUGCUUGCUCGUAAGAGUAAGCUGUUUUUCUGUCUAAAACGCAGAGAGAGUAAGAGCUGGGUAAGACGGGUGCCAGCCGCCGCGGUAAUACCUGCAGCUCAAGUGGUGGCCGCUAUUAUUGGGCCUAAAACGUCCGUAGCCGGUUUAGUAAAUGCCUGGGUAAAUCGUGUAGCUUAACUAUACGAAUUCCGGGUAGACUGCUAAACUUGAGACCGGGAGAAGCCAGAGGUACUCCUAGGGUAGAGGUGAAAUUCUGUAAUCCUAGGGGGACCACCAGUGGCGAAGGCGUCUAGCUAGAACGGGUCUGACGGUGAGGGACGAA
rnacentral:rRNA from 1 species